AAUCCCGUGAACCAUCGAGUCUUUGAACGCAAGUUGCGCCCGAAGCCUUCGGGCCGAGGGCACGCCUGCCUGGGCGUCACGCAUCGCGUCGCCCCCUCCCACCGCUCCCCGGAGCGGGGGGUCGGAGACUGGCCUCCCGUGCGCUCCCGUCGCGCGGCCGGCCC
rnacentral:rRNA from 1 species